GGCAUCAAAUGAAUUUCAUACACCAAAAUCCGCACAGGACAAAUCGCAAUGUGCAAACGCCCCUCUAGUAACAGCAAGUUAAUGGUUGGAUGAGACUUGUGCUUGUGUUACAUUUGACACAGACAGUCUUCCAAGUUCGUGGAUCGUCAACGUUGUAGCAGGAUCGUAAUGCAGUCAAGUAGUAUGCUAAUAUUCCUUUCUUAAAUUGAAUAAAAGAUAGAUUAAUAAGCCUUAAAUGCUCCGGGAGAGAGUUCCAAGUUCUAGUUGUUCGAAGAAAGAAUGAUCGAUUAUAAGUUGUUGUUUUAUGUUUUCGUUGACGGAAUGAGAUUGCGUUGACAUUAGCAGAUGAUCUUGUGACUCUUACGGGAACAAUACGUUCAGGU